UGGAAUCAGAACAAACUUCACCCUAGUCCUGUUUCAAUUGCCAGCACUAUUGACGCCCCUACUUUUACUGCGUUAAUGUAGCCAGAUCAAGCCUGAGACAUCCCAAGCCAAAGACAUGGCCCUGGAGGAGGUGAGCGGCCCAAGGCCUCAGGCAGCGGCUCUCAAUGCUGGCAGGCGGCCCAGAGACCACAGGGGAACUUGAGAGUAUUGCCUGAGCCAGCCCCAUUGCUCCCACCUGUACUCCCCAGGUCUCACUGGUGAGAGAGUGGCCUGGCGUGGGUAUUUGUCAGACGCCUCUCAUGGGCCCUCAGAGGCCCUCAGCCCAGCUGCCAAAUCCUGUGGAGCCCGCCCGUGACCGCCUGCCCUGGGGGCCUGGAGUGUUUUGAAGAUGACAAAUCAGAGGCAGCUCAGCCUGAAGUCUGCAUGCCUGUCGGGAGAGCUGGCAGGUGCCCGAGCCCAGGUGGGGUUUUUUACAUUACAUGACACACGGAUGAGAAGGCCAUGGGUGCAUCUGGGGCCUGGCGGGGUGA